GACUGGGGCGGUCUCCUCCUAAAGAGUAACGGAGGAGCACGAAGGUUGGCUAAUCCUGGUCGGACAUCAGGAGGUUAGUGCAAUGGCAUAAGCCAGCUUGACUGCGAGCGUGACGGCGCGAGCAGGUGCGAAAGCAGGUCAUAGUGAUCCGGUGGUUCUGAAUGGAAGGGCCAUCGCUCAACGGAUAAAAGGUACUCCGGGGAUAACAGGCUGAUACCGCCCAAGAGUUCAUAUCGACGGCGGUGUUUGGCACCUCGAUGUCGGCUCAUCACAUCCUGGGGCUGAAGUAGGUUCCAAGGGUAUGGCUGUUCGCCAUUUAAAGUGGUACGCGAGCUGGGUUUAGAACGUCGUGAGACAGUUCGGUCCCUAUCUGCCGUGGGCGCUGGAGAACUGAGGGGGGCUGCUCCUAGUACGAGAGGACCGGAGUGGACGCAUCACUGGUGUUCGGGUUGUCAUGCCAAUGGCACUGCCCGGUAGCUAAAUGCGGAAGAGAUAAGUGCUGAAAGCAUCUAAGCACGAAACUUGCCCCGAGAUGAGUUCUCCCUGAGACUUAAAGUCUCCUGAAGGAACGUUGAAGACGACGACGUUGAUAGGCCGGGUGUGUAAGCGCAGCGAUGCGUUGAGCUAACCGGUACUAAUGAACCGUGAGGCUUAACCUUACAACGCCGAAG
rnacentral:rRNA from 1 species